GAUGAAACGCUAGCUAUAGGCUUUAACACAUGCAAGUCGAGGGGCAGCGAAUAGAUAGCUUGCUAUUUAUGUCGGUGACCCGCGCACGGGUGAGUAACGCGUAUCCAACCUACCCAUAACUAAGGGAUAACCCAGCGAAAAGUUUGGACUAAUACCUUAUGUAUUCGUUUGAUCUCAUGAGAUUACGAUAAAGAUUUAUCGGUUAUGGAUGGGGAUGCGUCUGAUUAGCUUGUUGGCGGGGUAACGGCCACCAAGGCAACGAUCAGUAGGGGUUCUGAGAGGAAGGUCCCCACAUUGGAACUGAGACACGGUCCAAACUCCUACGGGAGGCAGCAGUGAGGAAUAUUGGUCAAUGGACGCAAGUCUGAACCAGCCAAGUAGCGUGCAGGAUGACGGCCCUAUGGGUUGUAAACUGCUUUUAUAUGGGGAUAAAGUGGGGAACGUGUUCCCUUUUGCAGGUACCAUAUGAAUAAGGACCGGGCUAAUUCCGUGCCAGCAGCCGCGGUAAAU
rnacentral:rRNA from 1 species